UGCUUAGGUGGCGAUUCAAAGAUGUUAAUGGUGGUCAACGUUUCUACAGCACCAUCUUUGGUCAACGAGUCAGUUCAUUGACCACCUGAUUGCUUGAUACGUAUCAUGUUCCGCACCAUUCAUCCAGAUUACUUUCCACCCGAAGUCGUAACAUAUGAGCGAUGGGCACUGUCAACACUGGAGAAAAAGAGCAUAUUGGGCUGGAUCCAAAACACUUUUUGUCAGAAAUUAUGUGUUUUAAAAGUUGGAGCUAAACAUCAACAAGCAUUUAUUAGGAGAAUUUGUAGAAUUCAAAGGGAAGAAUGAUGAUAUCACGUCCUUAAGAAACAUAAAGAGGUCGAAAGUUAGCCGUGUGAUGAUCCAAAAAAACAAGCAUGUUUGGUUUAGGUUCUAUAUGCACCAACAGAUUACAGGAGUGAAGGGUUUUCGGGUUCAGAGUGGUGGAACCAAGAAACAGUGAGAUCGAGCACAGAGGUGGUGUUUUAGCUUCAAUAAACUGCUAAAUGAACGCUGCUGGGAAGCAUGAACAAGCGUUCGAGCUUGCCGGAGGAUUCGCUCUGUCGAAGUACUUUGAUGACAACAGUCUUUUUAAAAGAACUGGGACUGUCUGGACUGUAAGUGCAGUAGUGCACAUACCAUAACUGUAGCCAUCGGCUCUGGCAUGUUGUCACUGGCGUGUGCAAUUGCGCGGCUGGGUUGGAUCGCUGGACCGAAGGUGGUUUCAAGUUAAACUUGGUGGAAUUGUCCAGUACGCCAAUCUUAUUGGAGUGGCAAUCGGGUACACCAUUGCAGCAUCCAUCAACAUGAUUGAUUGAAGGAUAUUGCUACAAGAGUUGGUGUUCAUGAGAUUGAUUUUAUGGAACACACCUCACCUGCAUUAAAGGGUAAAGACAAAGAACCCGAUAUAUAUGCAGUCUUAUACUCUUUCUAUAGAAGCCCUCCAAAAGACGGUGCAAGGUUGGUAACAACUACGAAGAACAAGUUGAGGUGGAAAUUUCAACCCAAUUCACCAAAAAUGGGUCCAUUCAACUUAUAUUUUUCAAAUGUUGCUCUGUAUUAACUUGUACAUCAUGUUUUAAGUGGUGUAUUUGUUUCAUUGACGAAUCUAUUGUUUUAUUCUUUUUUAAAA